rnacentral:misc_RNA from 1 species
GAACGCACAUUGCGCCCGGUGGUAUUCCGCCGGGCAUGCCUGUUCGAGCGUCAUUUAAACCAAUCCAGCCUUGUGCUUGGGUCUUGGGCCUUUCGCCUCUGGGCGGGCCUCAAAAUCAGUGGCGGUGCCCUCUGGCUCUAAGCGUAGUAAUACUCCUCGCUAUAGACGUCAGGUGGUAUCUUGCCAAUAACCCCCAAUUUUUUAAGGUUGACCUCGGAUCAGGUAGGGAUACCCGCUGAACUUA